AGGACGAACGCUGGCGGCGUGCUUAACACAUGCAAGUCGAGCGGAAAGGCCCUUCGGGGUACUCGAGCGGCGAACGGGUGAGUAACACGUGAGCAAUCUGCCCUUAGCUUCGGGAUAGCUCCGGGAAACCGGAUUAAUACCGAAUACGACCACUGCUGACAUCGGCGGUGGUGGAAAGCCUUUACGGCUAGGGAUGAGCUCGCGGCCUAUCAGCUUGUUGGUGGGGUAAUGGCCUACCAAGGCGACGACGGGUA
rnacentral:rRNA from 1 species